GCUGUGCGGCCGCUCACCUGCGUCCCCGCCUCUCCGGCUGCUGCGCGCCGGCACCGGGCCGCUUUCAUCCUCUUCUGCGGGGCCUGGCUUAGCGCCUUCAAGAAACGGGUAGAACUAGCCGGAGCCAUCGGUGUAGAAACACUGUCGUCACAAGCAGAGGAGAGCAAGGAUUAAAGUACCCACAGUUGAAGCAGCUGCAUGGAGCUUGGAAGAGCAACCAGUUGGAACCAAGCCGAGAAAGCAGUGGACCCCGCAUCUACAGGGAAGGCCAGGUCGCGAAGGCCAGUGUCCACACCGCCACAGGGGGGUGCUCCCAGGACAGUGGAGAGGUCAGGGGCUCAGCACCUCUGCAGGCUGGAUAGUGGCAAGGAUGCAGUGUGCCCUCCCUGGACCCCUCUGAUUCUUCCCAUCCGGUUAAGGAAAGACUGAUGACAGGGCCCCGGGGACAAGCCGUUUCCAUGGUUCCCAGACUUCUGGAUUCCAGACGCCAAUGACAGCUCAAAAAAAAAAAUUUUUUUUUGGGUGACCUACAUAGAUUUGUCAACCAUUUAUGUGGCCAAGUGAGAGGGAAAAGCAAAACAAAAUCUGCCAUCUCCCAUCAGAAUCAUUUUAUUACAGAAACCUUUUUUCACCCAAAUACAGAAAGGACAUUACCUCAGCUAAAGACAAUGUUUUGCAUGGAAUAUACUUAGCUGGGUGGACAUCUCCCGGGCUUGGCCGUAUUACUGUCGUGUGGGUGUGACCAUCUCUGUGGGCAAACUAGUGCCCAGCUUGGAAUUUCGGACCCAAGAUCCAGCUGCACGUGGCCCCCGUCACACCCGCUUGGGGCUGGGCAACCUGUGCUCACAUGGCCCAGCUCAUCGCCCACUGCCUGUCACCCACGCCCAGCUCUGCUCCCGCUGUGGCCUCCCCCGGGCCAGCCUGGCUGCCUGGUCUCCUUGCCUGAGUCGGCAGAAGCAUCAGCCUCAUUCUCCUUAAAGCAUCUGUGCCCCUUGAUUAAUGUGCCUUUCAAAUGAUUACUAAGUCAGCAUUAUUUUAGCCUCCACAGUUGUCACUGGGCCAGUCCUGAGCCCAGAGAUAUCACUUGAGCCCUUCCAUUCUCCAGGGAGCAGAAAAAAGAAGGUCCUGCGUUUCCUGGGAGGAAACUUAGUAGGAUUGUGCUGUUUCUACCAUCUUUCCCAAAGAAAAUGUGAAAUAAAGACUUCCACCCUAUAUAGAAGCACCUCCUAGUCUCAGACCACAAGCGUUUUCCAUGUGUUAAUCAUCUCAUGCAGCGCUGGAGGCUUUUAGACACCCAGAUAUUCAAGCUUUCUGAAGAGCUACCCAAUGCAUUCGAUGACUAAAUGGAAGUUAUAUUAGUUUUCUAUAGACUGGGAAAGAUUUCUUUUUUAAUUUGAGUCCAAUAUCCUUUACCUUCCUUUAAAGGCUUUCAAUUUGUAUGUGAAUGUUUCAUAGGACCUCUGAUGAUUAGAAUAUUGAUAACCAUAAUUGGGCAAAUACUUAAGACAUAUUCAUUCAUUCAACAAAUGUUCUUAAAGCACCUACUACGUGCCAACCACAGCACUGGCUUUGGAGAUACAAUAAUGAAAACCCAUUCUUUUCCUCAAGGGCUUAGGAAUUUUAGUCCGGGGAACAGACAUGUCAACAUAAAGAGAAGUGCUCAGGGCUUUCCUGGUUCCCUGGGCAGGUCCAGAGCAGCGUAAGGGAGCGGGCAUCACCAGUUCCACCUGAGUGAUGGGGAGCAGCU